rnacentral:rRNA from 1 species
AUCAUGGUUCAGAUUGAACGCUGGCGGCAUGCCUUACACAUGCAAGUCGAACGGCAGCACGGGUGCUUGCACCUGGUGGCGAGUGGCGAACGGGUGAGUAAUACAUCGGAACGUACCUUAUCGUGGGGGAUAACGCAGCGAAAGCUGUGCUAAUACCGCAUACGCCCUGAGGGGGAAAGCGGGGGAUCGCAAGACCUCGCGCGAUUAGAGCGGCCGAUGCCUGAUUAGCUAGUUGGUGGGGUAAAAGCCUACCAAGGCGACGAUCAGUAGCUGGUCUGAGAGGACGAUCAGCCACACUGGGACUGAGACACGGCCCAGACUCCUACGGGAGGCAGCAGUGGGGAAUUUUGGACAAUGGGGGCAACCCUGAUCCAGCAAUGCCGCGUGAGUGAAGAAGGCCUUCGGGUUGUAAAGCUCUUUUGUCAGGGAAGAAACACCGGCUCUAACACAGUCCGGGAAUGACGGUACCUGAAGAAUAAGCACCGGCUAACUACGUG